rnacentral:rRNA from 1 species
UACGUAGGGGGCAAGCGUUGUCCGGAAUCAUUGGGCGUAAAGAGCGUGUAGGCGGCCAGAUAAGUCCGCUGUGAAAUCUCGAGGCUCAACUUCGAGCUGUCGGUGGAAACUGUCUGGCUAGAGUCCGGAAGAGGAGAAUGGAAUUCCUGGUGUAGCGGUGAAAUGCGCAGAUAUCAGGAGGAACACCGGUAGCGGAAGGCG